GCAAAACGCGAAGAACCUUACCAGGUCUUGACAUCCCAUUGACCACUAUGGAGACAUAGUUUCCCUUCGGGGACAACGGUGACAGGUGGUGCAUGGUUGUCGUCAGCUCGUGUCGUGAGAUGUUGGGUUAAGUCCCGCAACGAGCGCAACCCUUGUUCUUAGUUGCCAUCAUUUAGUUGGGCACUCUAAGGAGACUGCCGGUGACAAACCGGAGGAAGGUGGGGACGACGUCAAAUCAUCAUGCCCCUUAUGACCUGGGCUACACACGUGCUACAAUGGACGGUACAAACGGUUGCCAACCCGCGAGGGGGAGCUAAUCCGAUAAAACCGUUCUCAGUUCGGAUUGUAGGCUGCAACUCGCCUACAUGAAGCCGGAAUCGCUAGUAAUCGCGGAUCAGCAUGCCGCGGUGAAUACGUUCCCGGGUCUUGUACACACCG
rnacentral:rRNA from 1 species